rnacentral:rRNA from 1 species
CCUACGGGAGGCAGCAGUCGGGAAUAUUGCGCAAUGGAGGAAACUCUGACGCAGUGACGCCGCGUGUGGGAAGACGGUCCUCUGGAUUGUAAACCACUGUCCCCAGGGACGAAGAUGACGGUACCUGGGGAGGAAGCUCCGGCUAACUACGUGCCAGCAGCCGCGGUAAUACGUAGGGAGCGAGCGUUGUCCGGAUUUACUGGGGGUAAGGGGAGCGUAGGCGGGGAUGCAAGUUGGGUGUCAAAACUACCGGCUCAACUGGUAGUCGCACUCAAAACUGAAGCUCUUGAGUGAAGUAGAGGCAGGCGGAAUUCCUAGUGUAGCGGUGAAAUGCGUAGAUAUUAGGAGGAACACCAGUGGCGAAGGCGGCCUGCUGGGCUUUUACUGACGCUGAGGCUCGAAAGUGUGGGGAGCAAACAGGAUUAGAUACCCUUGUAGUC